GAUGAACGCUGGCGGCGUGCUUAAUACAUGCAAGUCGAACGAGGAGCUUUUGUCUUCGGAUGAGGGUUUCCUAGUGGCGAACGGGUGAGUAACGCGUUGGUGACCUGCCCCAAAGAAAGGGAUAACAGUUCGAAAGAAUUGCUAAUACCUUAUGUUAUCAGUUGGAUUAGAUGCCUUCUGAUUAAAGGAGUAAUCCGCUUUGGGAGGGACCUGCGUCCCAUCAGCUAGUUGGUAGGGUAAUGGCCUACCAAGGCAAUGACGGGUAGGGGACCUGAGAGGGUGACCCCCCACAAUGGCACUGAAACACGGGCCAUACACCUACGGGUGGCAGCAGUAGGGAAUAUUGGACAAUGGGCGAAAGCCUGAUCCAGCAACGCCGCGUGCACGAUGACGGCCUUCGGGUUGUAAAGUGCUUUUAGAGGAGAUGAGAAAGGACAGUU
rnacentral:rRNA from 1 species